rnacentral:rRNA from 1 species
CUCGCUAGGUGUCAGGGACGGUGCGACCGUUUCUGGUGCCGCAGGGAAGCCGUGAAGCGAGCCACCUGGGAAGUACGGUCGCAAGGCUGAAACUUAAAGGAAUUGGCGGGGGAGCACUACAACGGGUGGAGCCUGCGGUUUAAUUGGACUCAACGCCGGAAAACUCACCGGGGGCGACAGCAAUAUGUAGGUCAAGCUAAAGACUUUACCAGAAUCGCUGAGAGGAGGUGCAUGGCCGUCGUCAGUUCGUACUGUGAAGCAUCCUGUUAAGUCAGGCAACGAGCGAGACCCGUGCCCACUGUUGCCAGCAUGUCCUUCGGGAUGAUGGGUACUCUGUGGGGACCGCCGAUGCUAAAUCGGAGGAAGGUGCGGGCUACGGUAGGUCAGUAUGCCCCGAAUCUCCCGGGCUACACGCGGGCUACAAUGACUGGGACAAUGGGCUCCUACCCCGAAAGGGGAUGGUAAUCUCAUAAACCCAGCCGUAGUUCGGAUCGAGGGCUGCAACCCGCCCUCGUGAAGCUGGAAUCCGUAGUAAUCGCGUUUCAACAUAGCGCGGUGAAUACGUCCCUGCUCCUUGCACACAUCGCCCGUCAAACCACCCGAGUGAGGUAUGGGUGAGGGCAUGGACAUUGUGCUGUGCUCGAACCUAAAUUUUGCAAGGGGGGUUAAGUCAUAACAAGGUAACCAAGGGCGAAU